rnacentral:sRNA from 1 species
GGAAAAGGAGUCGGCUCGUAGGGCAUUAAUGUGAAAACGUUUGCUCUUUUCAUAUUGAUCAAUAUCAAAGAUUCCCAGGCAUCAGUUUCCUCGUUCAAAAUCACAGUCUGACUCCCCGUGCUUGCCAAUCAAACCGGUUGGUUUCAUUCAUAUUUAUAUUUCAAACCUCAUUGCCACAAUGGGGUUCGACAACUGGAUUAACAUGCAUUUAACAAACGAUCUUGAAGGGCCCCUCGCAACUCAAAAUUCUCAGCUGCGACAGUAUGCAAUUAAUGUCCUAUUACCAUAUAGCCCCCGGGCAAUGCUUUUCAUAAAGAUGGAAAGAUAGUGAGUGCGUGAGAAGAUGAGCCGACCCCGCUAAUUUGAUGCGCUAUUUGCCUCUCCCUCAGCCCUCGCACAGUGGGAAAUUCUAUCUAUGCCAACGACCACGAG